AUUGAAGUAAUCACCGUGUUUAUCGUUAGUGAAUCUGUUCCUUCAGACCGCCGUGAACUAAAUUGCAGGAAACUUGUGUAGUGUGAUCCCAUAGUUUGAGUGGCAAACACUGUCUCUCGUGCUAUCUCAGACACCACACGCUGAUACACACUUGCAAAUACUGGUCAUUAAUACAAGUCAAUUCUACUCGCUGCAUACAACAGCGAAGUCGCAACUCUACGAACUUCUGAGUUCCCCUUAUUUCGAGCUACGAAACAAGGAAGUUUAAUGUGAAACCAAUUUACUGAUACAUAGUUUGUUAGCUAUUGUGUAUUAUUUUUAUUCCAUUUUCAAAAUUGAUAGCCUUUUUAUUAAAGGUACAAGUUAGGAUUGUUACGCAACGUUAUCUAUGCAACUGGAUCUCCGAAUAUCCUGUAUCCAUACAGAAAAUCUUGGACGUAAACUACCUCACGUGAAUACGGCAUUGAGAAGCUUCCAAAUCUGAUGAAAUUACUAUCUUCCAUCA